rnacentral:tRNA from 1 species
GGGGCGAUAGCUCAGUUGGCUAGAGCACCUGCUUUGCAAGCAGGGGGUCCGGGGUUCGAGUCCCCGUCGCUCCACCA